rnacentral:rRNA from 1 species
CCUACGGGAUGCAGCAGUGGGGAAUAUUGCACAAUGGGGGAAACCCUGAUGCAGCGACGCCGCGUGAGUGAAGAAGUAAUUCAGUAUGGAAAGCUCUAUCAGCAGGGGAGAAAAUGACGGUACCUGAUUAAGAAGCCCCGGCUAACUACGUGCCAGCAGCCGCGGUAAUACGGAGGGGGCAAGCGUUAUCCGGAUUUACUGGGUGUAAAGGGGGCGUAGACGGGAGCACAAGUCUGGAGUGAAAUGCCGGGGCUUAACCCCGGAACUGCUGUGGAAACUGUGCCGCUAGAGUGCAGGAGAGGUAAGUGGAAUUCCUAGUGUAGCGGUGAAAUGCGUAGAUAGUAGGCGGAACACCAGUGGCGAAGGCGGCUUACUGGACUGUAACUGACGUUGAGGCUCGAAAGCGUGGGGAGCAAACAGGAUUAGAUACCCCAGUAGUC